ACAGGGGUGUUUUCGACACCAGAAUCCUCAUGGCACCUAUCAACUUUAUGAAUAGUUAAUAUAAAUAUUACGAUAGACUGGGACUUAUUUUAGUAAGAAUUACAUUUUCCCCCAGAAUAGGGGAAAGAGGUGUAUAUAUAUGUUUAUUUGAAAAAUAAUUACCAUCAAAGAUAAAAAUGAAAAUAGGUUGUUUGGUGUGGGGUAAUUAUGAAAAAAAUGUAUACCAUCGUAAAGCCGUUUUGAGCCGUGCUUUAAUAAAACAAAUCCUGAUAAUGAAUAAUUUUCAGGUCUAUGUAUGUACUUGCUUGAACAUAUUUCCCCUGAUCUUACCAUGUCGCUUAUAGCUGUUAUUAUACAGGGUUUCAAAAUCACAUUCUUCACAUUUAAAAACCACUUUACAUUUCUCUUCGUGUCUUUUUAAAUUAUCUUUCCGUGUAAAAGUCUUUUUACAUGCGUACAAUUGCAGUACUAUUGAACAGUACAUAACUUCGUAAAGUCACAUGGUUUUUACCUGAUUUAAAACUUUCUCUCCGGAUAUGUGAUCAGUAGAACAGGAACAAUAGUUAGCCACCGGCCCCCCUUCUAUAAAGGGAAGACAACGAAGAAAAAAGAUUAGUAAAUAAAUGAACAGCCUGAAGUUCACAAGUUUUUUUAUGGAAAUUAUAUUUGCUUCACUAAUGUUUUAGAUAAUAACUAUAAAUAUUGUUUACUCUUUUAUUUUCCUAAAAUGUUUCUUAUUGACAUAGACGAAAAAAACUUAAAUAAUCUGUCUUCUACAUUUUAAAAUUGUAUUUCAGGAUUUAUUUCAAGAUUGAAGAAAGAAAAUCGGAGGCUUUCUACAGAGGUUUAAAGUCUCCGAGAAGAGAUAUCCGUAAUCUGACUUCAUACCCUGCUCCUAGAGGUUCAAAAUCUCCGGAAAGAGAUAUUGGUAAUUUGACAUCAUAUCCUGCUCCUAGAGAGUCUGGAGGUGCAUUACAUCUGUCAGGACAUAAUAUCAAGGUUCAAACAUCUUCUAGUCCAGAAUUUAAUAUUUAUGAUAUUAAUGAAUGAAACCUAUCUACUACUGCUACACUAAUAGAAGAAUAUUCUCCAAGACAGAAUUCAAUCAUGCCGACCAUACAUGUAGUUCAGAUAGUUCUUAUUCUUCAUGUUCAGGUAGUUCAGGUAUUUCUUCUUCAAGUAGGCGUUCAACUUCAGGCAGUUAAACAUCUACAAGUAGCAGUUCAGAUCUUGAGAGGGACUGAGACUUUUUGUGAAAUUGUAGAAAAAGCAUAUUUGAAUCUAAGAAAAUUUAUUGUGAAUUUUAUAACAGAUCUGUGAUUUUUUUAAACCAAAAUAAAAAUUUUUACAAAACUGUAA